rnacentral:rRNA from 1 species
UACGAAGGGGGCUAGCGUUGUUCGGAAUCACUGGGCGUAAAGCGCACGUAGGCGGAUCUUUAAGUCAGGGGUGAAAUCCCGAGGCUCAACCUCGGAACUGCCUUUGAUACUGGGGAUCUCGAGUCCGGGAGAGGUGAGUGGAACUGCGAGUGUAGAGGUGAAAUUCGUAGAUAUUCGCAAGAACACCGGUGGCGAAGGCGGCGACCUGGUCCGAUACUGACGCUGAGGCGCGAAAGCGUGGGGAGCAAACAGG